rnacentral:rRNA from 1 species
UGGGGAAUAUUGGACAAUGGGCGCAAGCCUGAUCCAGCCAUGCCGCGUGAGUGAUGAAGGCCCUAGGGUUGUAAAGCUCUUUCACCGGUGAAGAUAAUGACGGUAACCGGAGAAGAAGCCCCGGCUAACUUCGUGCCAGCAGCCGCGGUAAUACGAAGGGGGCUAGCGUUGUUCGGAUUUACUGGGCGUAAAGCGCACGUAGGCGGACUUUUAAGUCAGGGGUGAAAUCCCGGGGCUCAACCCCGGAACUGCCUUUGAUACUGGGAGUCUUGAGUAUGGUAGAGGUGAGUGGAAUUCCGAGUGUAGAGGUGAAAUUCGUAGAUAUUCGGAGGAACACCAGUGGCGAAGGCGGCUCACUGGGCCAUUACUGACGCUGAGGUGCGAAAGCGUGGGGAGCAAACAGG